rnacentral:rRNA from 1 species
UAACAAGGAUUCCCCUAGUAACUGCGAGUGAAGCGGGAAGAGCUCAAAUUUAAAAUCUGGCGGCUCUGCCGUCCGAGUUGUAGUCUGGAGAAGUGUUAUCCGCGUCGGACCGUGUACAAGUCUCCUGGAAUGGAGCGUCAUAGAGGGUGAGAAUCCCGUCCAUGACACGGACGCCCCGAUGCUUUGUGAGGCACUCUCAAAGAGUCGAGUUGUUUGGGAAUGCAGCUCAAAAUGGGUGGUAAAUUCCAUCUAAAGCUAAAUAUUGGCGAGAGACCGAUAGCGAACAAGUACCGUGAGGGAAAGAUGAAAAGCACUUUGGAAAGAGAGUUAAACAGUACGUGAAAUUGUUGAAAGGGAAACGCUUGAAGUCAGUCGCGUCCCGUGGAACUCAGCCUGGCUUCGGCCUGGUGUACUUUCCAUCUGGACGGGUCAACAUCAAUUUCGGUCGGUGGAAAAGGGCGAGGGGAAUGUAGCGUCGUUUCGGCGACGUGUUAUAGCCUCUUGUCGUAUACGCUGGCUGGGAUUGAGGACUGCAGCACGCCCUUGUGGCCGGGGGUUCGCCCCACGUAAAGGUGCUUAGGAUGUUGGCAUAAUGGCUUUAAGCGACCCGUCUUGAAACACGGACCAAGGAGUCUAACAUGCUUGCGAGUGUUCGGGUGGAAAACCCUUGCGCGUAAUGAAAGUGAAAGUUGGGAGCCUCCGCGAGGGGGUGCACCGACGCCCGGCCCUGACGUUCUCUGACGGUGCUGCGGUAGAGCAGGUAUGUUGGGACCCGAAAGAUGGUGAACUAUGCCUGAAUAGGGCGAAGCCAGAGGAAACUCUGGUGGAGGCUCGUAGCGAUUCUGACGUGCAAAUCGAUCGUCAAAUUUGGG